rnacentral:piRNA from 1 species
UGCCUGUCCAAUUUGAUUGCUAGGGUGGUC